GAGCCGCCCGCGGCCGCUGCCGUUCUUCUUCUCCUCACACACAGCAGCGCCUGUGGCGCGGGAGGUGGACGCAGCCUCUCAGGUAUCCUAGUGGUGGGUUUGCCCCGGGCCUCUCCUGAGGGAGCCGGCGGUGUCGCAGCGCCGGGCGCGAGCCCUGUGCCAGCCGCUCGCCGUUUGCAGCGCCCGUACGGCUUUAAACCCGACCCAGUGUGCCCUGAGGGACCGCCGGCGUUUGUGUCCGUCGGGCGGACCUGGCAGCGGAUCCUCCUGCCCGCACUGUUUUGGGAGAGGCGUCCCCUCGGCCUUUUUGCCGUCUGGAAAGCAAGAGUAUUCUGAAUUACCCUGUGGAAGCAUCUAUUUAGGAGAGACUUCACUGCCUGUUGACAGAGCCUGGACUCGUGAUUGAUGCUGUGGAUGCAUGUUCUUUCACACAGGACAUAAGCUUGGAGCACCACCCACUCAAAGCAGUAUUGCCUCCAUCCACAUCCUCAGCUCUCUGUUUAGCUUCCUUCCAAUCACCUACUUAGAUGGAAUGGAUUAAACUGAAAAUUAGCCUGAUGCCUCUGGAAAAACAAAAAAACCAAUCAGCUCAUGAACCUGUUUACUGCGUAACUGCACAAAAACCUGGUGCUGAUGGAAAGAAGGUAACGAGGACCAGUGGGGACAUGGCCAAGUGGGACAAGGAUGGGACCAUUACUUAUGGCUACUGUGCAGAUGUACAUUGAAUUAAAGUGUGUGUAUAGUCAUACCAUUAGUCAGAACUUAAGUUUGGCGUUCUCAAUACCUGUUUGUGGAAGCAGUCAAAGAUAAAUACAGCCUGAGGGUGAGAAAUGAGAAAUAUUGUGCUGGGAUAUAUUGGGCACCCUUUACUUAUAGAAGAGAGCAUGGCAGCCUUGUUGGGCUGGGUGAAAACCUUUUCUUUAUGUUUAGUAAAAGCAGUUCCAUAGAUGGUAGAGUAAAAGGUACUGAAAUGACAAUCAAAGGAUUAUUGUUAUUUGUGAUUCACAAGGGCUCAUGGAACCUUUUCCAUUAGAGCCCUAUGCUUUUUCUUUUGAAUAUAAAAUUUCAAAGUAAGUUUUUUUCUUAGUGAUAGCUGUGCUGUCUGCCACCCGGCUUGGUCUGGAAAGAGCCUACAUUUAUUAACAUUGUCUGAUGUAUUUAUUCACUCAAGGUCAGACCCUUAAUGAUUUCAUGGAAAGCAAGUGGAAAAGCCUGUAUUAUCUUUAGAGGGACUGCCAUGUGGUCCUAUAGGAGAGGAGAUGCUACUGACAGGAAGUUUUUGUUUUCUCUCGUUUUCAUUCUCUGAUUUGACUUUUGUGUUGCUUUGGCAUUUAUGACCAAACACGGGAGUUCCUUAACCCUGCGGCCCUUUCAGGCAUUAUGUUUCUCUGAACACCCUGGGCCAAAUCAGCUGUCUUUUCAGAUGUCUCACAUUUAUUUUAAUUUAAGGCUCGAUUACCUCUUGGCAGUAUGCCAUUGGAGACAACAGAUUUAUACCAGUAAUUAGUAUCUUUUGAGGAGUCUGGCACAAGACCUCAAAUCCUUGCUCCUUUGCUUAAGUACCUGGAUAACACUGCUGAAUGUUUAACUCUACACCCUCCACUUUAAAAUCUGUAGCCUUGCUAAUUUUCCUUUGAUUCCCUUUGACGCCUGGGAAAAGUAGUACACCCGUUUUCAAUGCUGGACUCACUUGCAAGCUCCUCAUUUGAAAUGUUCUUCUUAAUAUCUUAUGGCUACAAAUAGACGUUCAUUUGAGACCAGCACUUUGACUGAACGUGUCCUGUCACUGUGGACUUGCUGCAAUUGAAAAUCCUUGUGUUUCUGCAGGUAGGGGUACAGUCAGAAGCAGCGUGUUGUACUGUGUAUUUAAACACCAUGAGGAAUGUCUUGGAAAUAUAAAAAGAGAAGUAGACCGAGUACUAUGGAAGAGUUCAUAUUUAGUACAGGUAGUUGAUCAUAUAGUAUUGAAUGGUUUGUUAUUCCAUUGUUCUUCAAUAAUUUGAAAACUUAAAUCUUCUACUUUUGGCUUGGCUAGUAAUGUUUUCUUGAGCUGGGUUAUAAAAAUACCAUGCUUCACCUAUGCACAGAUUGUUAUAGUUUUCAUCUUAAUUAGCAAGCUCCAGAUUUAGAUGGAUUAAUACAAUCACUCUUUCUUUCUUUUGCUAUAAAAGUUCAGGAGUAUAAUCUGUCACUUGUGAGAACAUAAAGAAUUGGACUGGAAGCAUUCCAAACUCUUUACUGUAAGUGUUCAAAGAUUUAAUGGAGUCCUCAGUCAUAAAAUCUUUAAUUUGAACUAGACCUUUAUAUUCUCCAUUCUUAAAUUCACUGUUUUUACAUCCAGGGGAUUUCCUGUUAUCCAAGUAUAUACGGAGGCCCUUUAUUUCCCUCUGUGUGUGUUUUUUAAUUCAAAUCAAAUGUAAAUGUCAGUGGUUGAUUGCACUUAACCUCCUUAGGUUCAUAUUUCUUAUUUAAUUGCACUAUAUUUUAAGGUUUAAGGCUAUAUAUUUACUGCUGUUAAUAGCACACCAUAUUUUAAUGAAACUGUUAUCUUCUGCAAAUAUAUACAGAACAAUGGAGAUUGAUUAUACAGGAUCUUUCGAAGAAACUGUAUCUCAAAGCCAUUUAAAAUGAAUAAACACAGUGAAGAGCUU